rnacentral:rRNA from 1 species
GACGAACGCUGGCGGCGUGCUUAACACAUGCAAGUCGAACGGAAAGGCCCUUCGGGGUACUCGAGUGGCGAACGGGUGAGUAACACGGGGGUGAUCUGCCCUGCACUUUGGGAUAAGCCUGGGAAACUGGGGCUAAUACUGAAUUGGACCACGCUCUUCAUUGUGUGUGGUGGAAAGCGUUUGUGGGGUGGUGUGGGCUCGCGGCCUAUGAUCUUGGUGGUGGGGUAAUGGCGUAUCAAGGCGAAGACGGGUAGCCGGCCUGAGAGGGUGACCGGCCACACUGGGACUGAGAUACGGCCCAGACUCCUACGGGAGGCAGCAGUGGGGAAUAUUGCCCAAUGGGCGCAAGCCUGAUGCAGCGACGCCGCGUGAGGGAUGACGGCCUUCGGGUUGUAAACCUCUUUCACCAGGGACGAAGCGUAAGUGACGGUACCUGGAGAAGAAGCACCGGCCAACUACGUG